rnacentral:rRNA from 1 species
UGGGGAAUAUUGGACACUGGGCGAAAGCCUGAUCCAGCCAUGCCGCGUGUGUGAAGAAGGUCUUCGGAUUGUAAAGCACUUUCAGUUGGGAGGAAGGGCAGUAAGCGAAUACCUUGCUGUUUUGACGUUACCGACAGAAUAAGCACCGGCUAACUCUGUGCCAGCAGCCGCGGUAAUACAGAGGGUGCAAGCGUUAAUCGGAAUUACUGGGCGUAAAGCGCGCGUAGGUGGUUCGUUAAGUUGAAUGUGAAAGCCCCGGGCUCAACCUGGGAACUGCAUCCAAAACUGGCGAGCUUGAGUAGGGCAGAGGGUGGUGGAAUUUCCUGUGUAGCGGUGAAAUGCGUAGAUAUAGGAAGGAACACCAGUGGCGAAGGCGACCACCGGGGCUCAUAAUGACACUAAAGUGCGAAAACGUGGGGAGCAUGCAGG